UACAGAGGUCCCAAGCGUUGUUCGGAUUCACUGGGCGUAAAGGGCGCGUAGGUGGCCUUUUGAGUCAGACGUGAAAUCCCCCGGCUUAACCUGGGAACUGCGUCUGAUACUGGAAGGCUUGAGUUCGGGAGAGGGAUGUGGAAUUCCAGGUGUAGCGGUGAAAUGCGUAGAUAUCUGGAGGAACACCGGUGGCGAAGGCGGCAUCCUGGACCGAAACUGACACUGAGGCGCGAAAGCCAGGGGAGCAAACGGG
rnacentral:rRNA from 1 species